CCUACGGGAGGCAGCAGUGGGGAAUUUUGGACAAUGGGCGCAAGCCUGAUCCAGCCAUGCCGCGUGCAGGAUGAAGGCCUUCGGGUUGUAAACUGCUUUUGUGAACAGCCCGGUACCGUAAGAAUAAGCACCGGCUAACUACGUGCCAGCAGCCGCGGUAAUACGUAGGGUGCAAGCGUUAAUCGGAAUUACUGGGCGUAAAGCGUGCGCAGGCGGUUAUGUAAGACAGUUGUGAAAUCCCCGGGCUCAACCUGGGAACUGCAUCUGUGACUGCAUAGCUAGAGUACGGUAGAGGGGGAUGGAAUUCCGCGUGUAGCAGUGAAAUGCGUAGAUAUGCGGAGGAACACCGAUGGCGAAGGCAAUCCCCUGGCCGUACUGACGCUCAUGCACGAAAGCGGGGGAGCAAACAGGAUUAGAUACCUUGUAGUC
rnacentral:rRNA from 1 species